UGCGUAGGCGGUUAUGUGUGUCAGAUGUGAAAGCCCAUGGCUCAACCAUGGAACUGCAUUUGAAACUGCAUAACUUGAGUAUCGGAGAGGUAGAUGGAAUUCUAGGUGUAGCGGUGAAAUGCGUAGAUAUCUAGAGGAACACCAGCGGCGAAAGCGAUCUACUGGACGAAUACUGACGCUGAGGCACGAAAGCCAGGGGAGCGAAGA
rnacentral:rRNA from 1 species